rnacentral:rRNA from 1 species
AGCAGCCGCGGUAAUUCCAGCUCCAAUAGCGUAUAUUAAAGUUGUUGCAGUUAAAAAGCUCGUAGUUGAAUUUCGGGAUCAAUUAAUUGGUCGUGCCUCUGGUACGUACUGAUUUUAUUGGUUUCUCCCUUCUGACGAACCAUGAUGUCAUUAAUUUGGUGUCGUGAAGAAUCAGGACUGUUACUUUGAAAAAUUAGAGUGUUUAAAGCAAGCUAACGCUUGAAUACAUUAGCAUGGAAUAAUGAAAUAGGACGUUUGAUCCUAUUUUGUUGGUUUCUAGGAUCGACGUAAUGAUUAAUAGGGAUAGUUGGGGGCAUUAGUAUUCAAUUGUCAGAGGUGAAAUUCUUGGAUUUAUUGAAGACUAACUACUGCGAAAGCAUUUGCCAAGGAUGUUUUCAUUAAUCAAGAACGAAAGUUAGGGGAUCGAAGACGAUCAGAUACCGUCGUAGUCUUAACCAUAAACUAUGCCGACUAGGGAUCGGAUGAUGUUUAUUUUUAGUG